AACGAACGCUGGCGGCGUGGAUAAGACAUGCAAGUCGAACGGGACUUUUCCGAGUAGCAAUACCUGGGAAAGUUUAGUGGCGAACGGGUGCGUAACACGUGGGCAAUCUGCCGAGAAGUG
rnacentral:rRNA from 1 species